rnacentral:rRNA from 1 species
UACGGAGGGUGCGAGCGUUGUCCGGAAUCACUGGGCGUAAAGGGCGCGUAGGCGGCCUGUUAAGUCGGGGGUGAAAUCCUGCGGCUUAACCGCAGGGCUGCCUUCUAAACUGUCAGGCUUGAGCACAGUAGAGGCAGGUGGAAUUCCCGGUGUAGCGGUGGAAUGCGUAGAGAUCGGGAAGAACAUCAGUGGCGAAGGCGGCCUGCUGGGCUGUUGCUGACGCUGAGGCGCGACAGCGUGGGGAGCAAACAGG